GGGAACGAGCAGGUGUCGUGAUGCAGCAUCUCGGGAAGGGGACGAGCGGCGCGGCCCUCGGACCUGCAUGCGGCGUUCCGCCCGCUUCUUACCCGUGCAAUUCUUGUCCCUACGUCCUCUCCCUUCCAGAUUUGCUGCAGUGGCAAAGCCAAAAAGGCGGGGAGGGCUAGAAGGGAGCUGCGUAAUUUUAACAGCUGAAAUGCUGUCGAAUCGUGGUUGCUUUCACCACCUCUCAGGACCAUCAGUUACCAGAUGUCGUUUUUCACUUGCAUUGGUUCCUGCCUCUCCAGCCAUGUACUUUCUCCUGAGUAGUUUCUGGCCAGUGUAAUUACGAAUAGACACCGCAAGCCUUGCUCUUAGUGUCGUUAGUGAACGAGAGGACUGGACUGUAGAGGCAUUCUCGGAGACCCAAUGAACAUCAUUUCAGGAGGAUUGUCUGUCAGCAACUGCUUCUCUGUUUUUGCAAACUUGUGCUACCUUCUUCAUUGAAAGGAUAUAUCUAGUUACCUUGUUUUCUGACAGCCCUUUUGACUGUUUUGGAUUUUUCCAAGUAUCAGUUUUUUCUCCAAUGAUUUUGUAAUUUACCUGUCACCUAUUUAAGCUUUAACAUCAGUGCUUCCAGUGGUUUUAUUUCAUCUAGUUUUGAAUGGUUUGUUCUUUUUGCAUCUAAUAAAUUUACCCUGCACAACUCAAAAGCAUUUUUUCCUGAUUUGGUUUUUGUUUUGUUUUGUUUUUUUGACAGUCCAGAUUUCACAGCAACCACAGUCUUGGCAACAGAACCUGUUGGUCCAUAAGACAUUUCUUCACUUAAAUGUUUUGUCUAGUUUCUUGUCUCCCAAACUAUCUAUUUCAUGGCAAUAGUCACCCUAUCUAUUCUUGUAGCCUAGGAAGUUUGUUACUCCUGCAAUUUCUCCACCUAUUUGCACUGGAUUAGUAUCACCAGCCAAAGUGGAGAGGAGGGAUCAAAACAAGCAUGACAGCAGCUGUAAUCAGAGCUCUGGCCUUUUUGUGUGUUAACAUUAAAUGAAGUUAAAAAAAGAGGUAGGGCUUCAACCAUCAUCUUGCUGUAUUGAUCCUUUCUGCAGACACUGCUGGUUAGCAUUGCCCAGCUAACAUCUUCAUAUUUUUAUUGAGCAGGAAUUCAGCUUCUAAACUCACUUUAAUCUUCAGCAAGAAACUCCUUAAGUUUUCUCACUACUACUUUAGAUACCCUCAGGAUUUUGGAUCUUUUUCCUUACAAUUUUAAUUCCGGUUUCUAUUUCUUACAGUAUAUUUUGCCAAUAAAUGUGACACAAUACAAUCUUCAUGCUAUCCUUUCCCAGUUUGAACCACAGUUGCUCUAAACGGUGUUCUAACCGCUGCUUUCUGCAAUUCCUUCAACGGUCAAUGAGAUAAAGGAUAUCUACAUUUUUGUAUCCACAGAUUAAAAAUGUCUUUGCAUAACAAAAAUAAAUGGCUUUUUUAACUGC